UUGGCGGGUCAGCAACGUGCACUCGAUGUUUUACACUGCAGUGUAAAAGAUAAUAGAAAAUAGUCAUGUGGGGUUGAUCGAGGUUUACCAAAUAAUGUGAUGGGCAGCGACUCAAGUAAAAGAGACAGGCACCAAGCCAAGAGAGAUGGCGCUAUCAAGCCUGGCAUGGCUUUGUCUCCAAUAUGGGAAUAUCCUUUGCUGACGGAAUUCGCCACCUUGGCCCACCUGGUCUGACAACACAGUGCAUGGUGCUCGGCAGUGGAGCCCCAAUCCCUGAGGCCCUCCUCCUCCCAGGAGACAAUCCUCAGAAGCCUGUCAUGGAGUGGACUCUCCCUGGCUUAAUCUCUAUCUUUCUGCCUGAGUUCCCACACCCUAAAUUCCCUGGGCAAGACCAUUUCCAGGUUUUAUCCAAGUCUGAGAUACUGAAGCAUGGGGUCCUGGAACAGUCAAAGGAGGAGGUCAUCAUUCAGGUAGGUCACACUGCAGGAUGACCUGUGAAGCUGCUAUCCUGAGCAGGCUUUAGCUUAGGGUCUGACUUAGUUUAAGGGAUAACAUGCUGGAAACAAUGACUCACUGAGCUCUAAUAAUGACUAUGCCAAUUAUCCCUAAGAACUUCUGUGCAACAAGAAGCAUUGCCCCAUGGAGCUUUUGCUGUAAGAAAAACAACCUUUACCAUCAUUCAAGAUACCUGCUUGCAUUCAGAUCCCACCUAAAUAACAUUGUUCUACUGAGUGUCUUUGCUGACAUCCACACUUGUUGCUGCUGUUGUGUGUUGCCUGUUGUGUUGCAGCGGCAGCUCAGCCACCCAUUCCUCCACAAUCUGCAGGAUUGCUAGCAGACCCAGCGUCACCUCUUCAUUAUGUGAAUACUGCAGUAAUGGAGACCUGUAUACCGACUGAAGGGCUAGUUUGGGGAGGAUGAGGCUCAGGUGUUUGCUGCAGAGCUAGGCUGUGCUUUGGAUGGAGAAUGUCCUUCUGUCUGACCAAGGUCAUCUGCGUUUAACUGAUUUUGGAUUCUCUCGCCAUCUUGAGCGGGGCACAAGAGCAUUUACAAUUUGUGGGACAAUCCAAUACAUGGCUCCUGAAGUCCUGAGUGGGAGUCUCUACAGACAUGCUGCUGAUUGGUGGUCUCUCGGGGUUCUGUUGUUCUCAUUGGUGACUGGAAAGUUCCCUGUGCCUCCAGAACCAGACCACUCCAACAUGCUGAGAAAGCUCCUGGGCAAGAACCCAGCUCAUCGCCGGCGUAGCCUGGAGCUCUUCCAAAGGCAUACAUUUUUUUGUGGCAUUUCCUUUGACUCUCAACUGCUACAGAAGAGACCCGUUGAACUAUUUCUAGAACUGAAGAACCAUCCUGAUCGUCCAGCCAUAGCCAUGCGAGGCCUGUCUAUGGACUGCUUCCAGAACUUCGACUGUGACAUACUCCACUCCCCUACCAGCUCCACUGACAUGUCACCUACUUUGGCCAACAUUGACCUGAGCUAGACUCUGGCUACAGCUCAGGAUUUUAGUGCAUGAGAUGUGCCUGUGCUACUAUGACUCAAUACUGACUGUAGUGGAAACAAGUAUGGACAUGUAUUUGAUAUAUACAUUUUGUACCAUGGGGAUGUGUGAAACGUACUCCUCAGCCUUAAGUGUCCCGCUUGCACCACCUCAUUAGGUGGUUGUGAAAAAGCUCCUGUAUGUUUUCUUUAUUUACAUGGCCUAUUUGGCUCCCUCUCUUCCUCUGUAUACCUCUUUGCAUAUCCAUUUAAUGGGGUGAUAAUUAUAGAUGAGCUUAAAUGCACUGAAAACCACCACUUACCAAAAAAGGUUUAGAACAUUUCUAUUUCCCAUUGGGUACUGCAACUCAAAGCCUCUCAAGGCUCUGCCAAAUGGCACUUUCCACAUGUGGAUCAACCACCUGCAUGUUUGACAUUUUACCUUUGUUAUUACAUUUGUAUAAGAAGAUCUAUAUUUUCCUGAAUAUCCUUUCACAUAUAUAUUUUUUAACAAAGUAUUUACAAAGUAAUUCUGUAGGUUUGAUUGCUUAGGCCAUCUGAUUAUUUGAUUGACUGUUGUGUGUGAUCACAAUGUCUUUGACUGUUCACAAAGUCCUGCUCUAUAGCAAUUUCUCAUUAGAUUUCACUAACUGUUGUUGUGUUUUACCCAAACACAGUGACAUCUGAAAAAUGAAAGCCCCUAUAAACUCAUGAUGGAGUUGUCUCCUGUCAUGAUAUACUAGGAGAAAUAUCAAAGGAAAUUGGUACCUUUAUGCAUAGCCUCUAUUUGGAGCCACUUGAAGUGUUAGAAAGAGUUGAUAAGUUCCACAGGUUUUUUGAGGUUAGGUGAUUUUAGCUGUUCCAGAUAUAGAGCCUGAGUCACUUCAGACACCUGAUCAUCAGUCAUGACAGCAGAGAACAUACACACGUUUGAGCCAGUACAAUACAAGAGGAGGCUUUCAGUUUAUUGAAACCAACAGAAAAGUAUACAUCUUACAGCGUAUUAUUCAUUUGGAAUCUCAAAUGUUUUUUCACCUGAAAUCUGUAUGGUUCAGUUGGUAAAGCAUGGAGGUUGCAACAUCCCGGUCAUGGGUUUGAGUCCUGUGGGGCCCUGGACACCCAUAUGAAAAUGUAUGGAUGAUACACUACUGCAAGUCCUUUUGGAUAAACGCAUCUGCUAAAUGGCAUAUAUCAUAUAUUAUGUUAAUAACACAUAAAGUACAUUAUUUGUAUUGCACUACAACUGGAUACAUAAAGACAACUUUUU